rnacentral:rRNA from 1 species
UAAGGAAUAUUGGUCAAUGGACGCAAGUCUGAACCAGCCAUGCCGCGUGGAGGAUGAAGGUCCUCUGGAUUGUAAACUUCUUUUAUCUGGGAAGAAAUGCAUCUUUUCUAAGGUGUUUGACGGUACCAGAUGAAUAAGCACCGGCUAACUCCGUGCCAGCAGCCGCGGUAAUACGGAGGGUGCAAGCGUUAUCCGGAUUCACUGGGUUUAAAGGGUGCGUAGGUGGGCAGUUAAGUCAGUGGUGAAAUCUCCGGGCUCAACCCGGAAACUGCCAUUGAUACUAUCUGUCUUGAAUAUCGUGGAGGUAAGCGGAAUAUGUCAUGUAGCGGUGAAAUGCUUAGAUAUGACAUAGAACACCAAUUGCGAAGGCAGCUUACUACCCGAAUAUUGACACUGAGGCACGAAAGCGUGGGGAUCAAACA